rnacentral:rRNA from 1 species
GUCUACAGCAAUGCUACCCUGGACAUACCCGAGCCCAUCUGAUCUUAGAAGCUAAGCAGGGUCGGGCCUGGUUAGUACUUGGAUGGGAGACCACCUAGAAGACCAGGUGCUAUAGGCA